rnacentral:sRNA from 1 species
CCUGUUGAGGACAGAUAUAAUGCACAUGAGUAUCAAUACCGCCGGCUGUGACGAUCAUUCCCUCUCCUGCGAUCACUUCCGUACCUGCACCUACAACGAGGUCGGGAGAAACUCCGUCCAUGAUAUCAGGGUUGCCGGCUUUUCCUAUACCUGCGAUCUUGCCGUCCUUGAUUCCGAUAUCAGCCUUGACAACGCCCCAGUAAUCGAGGAUAAGCGCAUUUGUGAUGAGAGUGUCGAGAGCGCCGCCUGCAUUUGUGAUGCCUGAUUUUUGUCCCAUGCCGUCACG